rnacentral:rRNA from 1 species
UAGGGAAUCUUCGGCAAUGGACGAAAGUCUGACCGAGCAACGCCGCGUGAGUGAAGAAGGUUUUCGGAUCGUAAAACUCUGUUGUUAGAGAAGAACAAGGACGUUAGUAACUGAACGUCCCCUGACGGUAUCUAACCAGAAAGCCACGGCUAACUACGUGCCAGCAGCCGCGGUAAUACGUAGGUGGCAAGCGUUGUCCGGAUUUAUUGGGCGUAAAGCGAGCGCAGGCGGUUUCUUAAGUCUGAUGUGAAAGCCCCCGGCUCAACCGGGGAGGGUCAUUGGAAACUGGGAGGCUUGAGUGCAGAAGAGGAGAGUGGAAGUCCAUGUGUAGCGGUGAAAUGCGUAGAUAUAUGGAGGAACACCAGUGGAGAAGGAGGCUCUCUGGUCUGUAACUGACGCUGAGGCGCGAAAGCGUGGGGAGCAAACAGG